AUCCUUUUGUAGCUCAUGAGCAUGAUGACUGGGCAUUCACACAGAUGUGUGAGAGUGCCACCCUCAAACCUCAUUUCGACGUUGGCACAUUACCUAUCUGACU